AGGACGAACGCUAGCGGCGUGUUUGAAACAUGCAAGUCGAACGGGAAGAGCAAUCUUUUAGUGGCGAACGGGUGCGUAACACGUAAAGAACCUAUCCAACAGCGGGGGAUAGCCUCUGGAAACGGGGGGUAAUACCGCAUACGCUACAAGGCAGGCAUCUGCAAUGUAGGAAAGGGGUACGAAAGUAUCUCACUGAUGGAGGGCUUUGCGGCCUAUCAGGUAGUUGGUGGGUCACGGCCUACCAAGCCAAAGACGGGU
rnacentral:rRNA from 1 species